UACGAAGGGGGCUAGCGUUGCUCGGAAUCACUGGGCGUAAAGGGCGCGUAGGCGGCCGAUUAAGUCGGGGGUGAAAGCCUGUGGCUCAACCACAGAAUUGCCUUCGAUACUGGUUGGCUUGAGACCGGAAGAGGACAGCGGAACUGCGAGUGUAGAGGUGAAAUUCGAUAGAUAUUCGCAAGAACACCAGUGGCGAAGGCGGCUGUCUGGUCCGGUUCUGACGCUGAGGCGCGAAAGCGUGGGGAGCAAACAGG
rnacentral:rRNA from 1 species